AAGCCUAUGAUUUAACUGGUUAGAAUAAGCUCUUGAUAGGAGUUUUGUAGAAGUUCGAAUCUUCUUGGGCUUA